AGCCCAAGACAACUUGCUCUUGCUGAGUUCAGAAGGAGGUGCACUAAUGAAAAUAGAGUGUGUGCUAAGCAAUUUAGGGGGCGUAGGAAUGAAGUCUAUGGGCCUAGGGAAGAGCAAGGUCCAACACGGAGCAAGGCAAAGGUUGAGGAGAAUCAUUUAACAACAAAUUAUUUUCACUUUCGGCUUGCUUCACUACUCUCUCUCCAUUUCAAAAGCUUUCCUCACCAUCGUUCACUCCGAUGUGCGGAAGGCGGCGGAGCAGCCCAUCCUGACCAAUCACCACCACUAAAAGAUUCCUCUUUACGUCCUCUCUCUACCUCUCAGGCUCGUUUCAACAAAUUCUUGCUAAAUCUCCCAAAAUCGAAUCAAAGAGCCAAGAACCCUAACCUACCAAAAUUGAAAUUAAAUAAUGAUGGUGGGGAAUCAAGCCACUCCACCUUAGGGUUUUUAUUCCCCUAUGUGAAUACUACAUUGUGAUAAGGAGUUUGAAGCAAGAAGAGGCAUUUUGUAACAACUUUGGGCAGUUUUCGGGGCAGCUCUGUUAGAGGGCUGAUAUGGGCUUGAAAUAAAGAUAUGCUCAUGAGGAUUUUGGUCAAGGCAUGAAGGUUUGUGCAAAGCAUGGAUCAAGGUUCUUUCAUGAAGAUAUCUUGGCAACUUGUAGAUUUUGGAGGCACAAAAGCUGCACUGUCUUAUGGAUGAAUAGGAAAGUAGGUUAGAGUUUAGGUAGUUUGACUUUGGUCAAAAUGUGUAAAAUUGUGUAACUUUGGUUUUGACUCCUUUUGUAAUGAAACUUUGAAUAUUUUGUAUUGGAAAUGGCUCUUUGAAUGGAAA